CCUACGGGAGGCAGCAGUGAGGAAUAUUGGUCAAUGGGCGGAAGCCUGAACCAGCCAAGUAGCGUGCGGGAUGAAGGCCCUACGGGUCGUAAACCGCUUUUGCACGGGGAUAACACCUUCCACUUGUGGAGGUCUGCAGGUACCGUGCGAAUAAGGGCCGGCUAAUUCCGUGCCAGCAGCCGCGGUAAUACGGAGGGUCCGAGCGGUAUCCGGAUUUAUUGGGCGUAAAGGGAGCGUAGGCGGGCCGACAAGUCAGCUGUGAAAUCGCCGGGCUCAAACCCCGCCCUGCAUUUGAAACUGGAGGCCUUGAGUUCAGAAGAGGCAGGCGGAAUUCGUGGUGUAGCGGUGAAAUGCGUAGAUAUCACGAGGAACCCCGAUUGCGAAGGCAGCCUGCCGGGGUGCAACUGACGCUGAGGCUCGAAGGUGCGGGUAGCAAACAGGAUUAGAUACCCCGGUAGUC
rnacentral:rRNA from 1 species